AUCUGGGCGGCGGAAUUCAGGAUGGGUGGCGCGCGAGCUCGACUCGCGUGUUCGGCCGUUUGAUAUUUCCGUCGCCGUGUCGGACGUCGCGACCUGUUUGUCGUCGGUCCCUGCUCGGAGGAAUGGCGAUCGAGUUUGUUGCGCGGCGCGUUUCGGCGUGCGGCGCGGCGAAGACGCGACUCUCUGGCCGACGGCGGACAGUAAGCAACGGUGUCCGGCGCCGCCGUGUCUCGUCGACUCGGCGCCGGUGCCGGUCUGCGACGAUUUCUUCGGGCCUCUUUCCGACCCGUCUUGAAACACGGACCAAGGAGUCUAACAUGCGCGCGAGUCGCGGGGUUUCGAGCGUGCCACGGCGUACGCUCGUGACUUAGCGAAACCCGUACGUUGAAGGCGUAAUGAAAGUGAACAGGGAAGAUGGCGUUCCGAGUCCACGUACCGUGAUGAAUAGUGUCGCGGCCGGACGUCCGCACUCCCGGGGCGUCUCGAUGGCUCGUCGCGGACGCGGACGGUCGUCUCUCGGGGCGGCCGUCGGUUCGCGCCGGACCGA
rnacentral:rRNA from 1 species